GACGAACGCUGGCGGCGUGCUUAACACAUGCAAGUCGAACGCUGAAGCUCAGCUUUUGUUGGGUGGAUGAGUGGCGAACGGGUGAGUAACACGUGAGUAACCUGCCCCCUUCUUUGGGAUAACGCCCGGAAACGGGUGCUAAUACUGGAUAUUCACUGGUCUUCGCAUGGGGGUUGGUGGAAAGGGUUUCUCUGGUGGGGGAUGGGCUCGCGGCCUAUCAGCUUGUUGGUGGGGUGAUGGCCUACCAAGGCUUUGACGGGUAGCCGGCCUGAGAGGGUGACCGGUCACAUUGGGACUGAGAUGCGGCCCAGACUACUACGGGGGGCAGCAGUGGGGAAUAUGGCACAAUGGGCGCAAGACUGAUGCCGCGACGCCGCGUGAGGGAUGGAGGCCUUCGGGUUGUGAACCUCUUUCGCUCAUGGUCAAGCCGCAACAAUGGUUGUGGUGAGGGUAGUGGGUAAAGAAGCGCCGGCUAACUACGUG
rnacentral:rRNA from 1 species